rnacentral:lncRNA from 1 species
GAGACCCUGCUCAACAAGAGGGAUCUCAGAAGACAUACGAGGCUCCAAGGACCAGGUGUUGGACGAAAACGGGAUCCCGUAAUUCGCCGACACCAGCCAGAGCAGCCACGACGGGCCAGCUUCUCGCCCACAUCAAGGUCAAGACAGGUCGGACAAACCAAGCCUUACCACGUCAGUCAGGGCGGGAAGGAUUCACCAUAAACCGACAGUCUACCACUGCCACGUCCAUUCUGGACUCUCCUGGCUACCAUCCUCGAUCGAGAAGAAACUACCACCUAGGAUCAACGGCCGGAGGACAUCCUGAAGAAUGAGCGUGUGUGUGUGUAGAAUGACUCAAGAAUGAAGAAGUUUCGUGAGGUGGUCACUGUGUGGUGUUAAUCGGUCGACAUUGGCGUAAAUAAGAGAAGGAUGUAAAGAUGAAGCCUCCAUUUGACUGGUUUUCAAUGCGGCGUUCUUCAGCCCUUACAGCCUCAUUCCUCGCAUUGAAAAGGGGAAUGUUGUAAUGUGCACUUAUGUUGACCUUUCCAAAUAUAUCUAACCAAGCGCCACCUGCCCAGCCUUUGGUACGCAAGCCCUUAGAUCGGAUGUGAGCAACAAGGUGGGAGGCUCCAAGGACCAGGUGUUGGACCAAAUCGGAAUUCCGUAAUUCGCCGACACCAGCCAGAGCAGCCACGAAGGGCCAGCUUCUCGCCCACAUCAAUGCCAAGACAGGUCGGUCAAACCAAGCCUUACCACGUCAUAAAUUUAAUCUCAUAAAAUAGAAAUCUUUUUUUUUUUGUUACUUUCUAAAACAUACCUCGAGAUCCCAGAAAAUCGAGGCAUAACACUUUUAAUUCAAGCUAUUCGACGAUAUUAUGCACUCAUCGUAAACGAGCUCGAAAGCUACGGGCACAUUUGCAUUUUCUUAUACCAGCCGACAAUAUAUAGGAAAUGCAACGAAAUGCGAUUGCAGUGACGAAAAGCGCAAGUGCGAGCAUUCUCUUUUUUCUUGAGAUCACAGAUUCAUAGAUCACAGAACUUCCGCCAGUAUUUUGGAAUAGAAGAGAUAUCCAUCAAAACGUACGUAAAAUAUUAUCUUUAUAUGAAUUACAUUUUUACAAAAUCACCCUGGCAACAUUGUAAAAAAAUAUAACAAGACUUUUGCAAAAGCGCGAAAAGCAAAAAGCAUAAAAAGAAAUUCACUUUGUGAUCGCGCAGCGCAUAAAAUGUAUAUCAAACCAACGUUUCAAUUACAUAGUUCCAUUUGAAUUGCGCAAAGCAGCAGAGAAAAAAAAUAUAAUUAAGACAGCACCUGUGCUUUACGGUGUGAGUGUUUAUGAAGCUGCCCGCAAUGACUCGAGUUUCACUCAAAGCUCCGGAGUUAUUUGAUGGAAACCAGCAUCGCAACGUCGAUGCGCUUCAAGAAAGACCCUGAUGAAUUUACAGGCGAAUACGUUAAAAGCGUCGACUCGGGCACUCGAAGAAGAGCCUUGCUCAUAAAAGCUUUUUUAUAGCACGCCACUCGACCAAGGAACAAAAAAAAAUGCUAGAGCCAAAGUCAGAGGUAGAGACAGAGUGAUAUAAGGCUAUAGGAUUAAAAAAAUGUCGAUGCAGUCUCUGCGUCGCGGUGAAAUCGUCCGCUAGGCACAUCUGGAGCAACAAUAAUUACAAUCAAAAAGCUCAUCUGGAAAUUAAUUAUAACGAAAGAGUGAUCGGCGUAAAAUUGACUGGAAAGCACGGCGGGAAUGUCGACUGCGGCUGCGGGAAAAUCGAUGCGGAAGUGAUGCCGGAGAGGCGCUCUGCUAUUGUCGUUUUGUAUUAUGAUAAAGGAAAUUCAAUCAUGAGACUUGCUCUAUUUGUAAAAAUCGAAAAGAAAUCGCAUUAGAUUUAAAUUAAAUUAAUUUAAAAGGGAUUUUGAUAUUAAUUUAACUU